rnacentral:lncRNA from 1 species
GCGUAAUAAAUAUUAUCCAAUUCUUCAGCGUAGAUACUAUCUUCACCAAUUGAAAAUAAUCAGUGGCAAAUACUAUUUCACCGAUAUGUAAGAUUUUUAUACAUUUAAUAGGCGAUUUAAACGUUUCAAAUUAUGCAUAUAACGGUGAUAGAAUUUAUCAUAUAACGGUGAUAGACUUCAUUGAAUAUUCGUAGCACCCAUCAUUUGUUUUUCGGUGUCUUUAUUGCUAAAUAGCCAUUCUUGACCUCAAUACAUAUAUUCUUCUUUCUAAACUCCAUCAAUAUAACAUCAUUUAUACCUCUCACUUGUUGGCUCAACUGAGUGUCAUCAAUGAAUAUUUGAAAUCUUUAAGUUGGGCCUUAGUUCAUAUAGCAACGUUUAUUUCCGCUACAUUCAAAAUCUCUUUUGAAUUUCUAUUUUUAUUUUUAAAUAUUUUAUCAUUUAUGUCUUCUAUAUCUAGCUAUAUAUAUACAGUAAUGUUUCUCUCUUGUGAGGGCUCCAUGUCACCAAAAAGACUGGUACGUGUCUUUCUUUCUAUGAGGUUUAUAUUUUCCGUUUGCGUUGUUGAUAGGCUUUAAGUGUUCCAAAUUUGUGGGCUUGGAAUGAGAUUUGGGGUGACUAAAUACAUAAAAGCUUAUCCCGUUCUGUCUUUCGCCUUCUUCAACAAUGACGACCCUUCUUACCAGGGUUCUUCGUAUUGUUUGAGCUCUUUAGUUCAAUCGUUAAUGGAUUUUCUGGAAGGUUGACACGAUUCGUAUAAUGAGAAGAAUAAUGAAAACAGUUUCCAAACAGGAACUUGGGUUCAUGAGAAGAAUAAUGACAACAGAAGCUACAACUACUGAGAGGUUGGAAAUUGGAACAGUAAAGAUCAGCAAUGAAGAGAAUUAUGAAGAAAGAGAGGAUCUGUGAAAUGUGGAGGAUUAUUGUUUAUGAUUUGUUAAAGAUAUCUUAACAUUUGAGUUUGGGGUUUAAGGAUUAUUGUUUAUGAUUUAUUAUUUAGGUGG